rnacentral:lncRNA from 1 species
UUUUUUUUUUUUUGAGACUGUCUCACUCUGUUGCCCAGGCUGGAGUGCAGUAGGGCGAUCUUGGCUCACUGAAACUUUCACCUCCCGGAUUCAAGCAAUUCUCCUGCCUCAGCCUGCCGUCAAGUAUUGGUUCUUAGACUCCGUCUCAAAAAAAAAAGAAAAAAAAAAAGACAAGGUCUUGCUAUGUUGCCCAGGCUGGUCUCAAACUCCUGCCCUCAAGCAGUCCUCCCAUCUCAGGAGCCACCUGUGGAGGUCAUAUGGCCGGGGGACGGCCUCACUGUAGGCCGGGCCCUUCAUGGCUGCGGCCUUCUAAGGCGGUGCGGAGGCUGCUGGUGGUGGGGGCUGCCUCCCGUGCUUGUUACUGUGGCCUUGUCCCGACUGGCCUCACAGUGCGGGGUUUCACCCGGUGACUCGAUGUGGGCCUUGUACGGCUGGGAGGCCUCCUGGUGGGAGGUGGCAGCCCCAGCCUUGAACCCAGGUGGGAGUGACCCAGGGCCACACUCGGACCCCUGGGUGGAGUCAAACCAGGGGUGCAGGGAGAAGGUGUGGCCAGGGAGCCCCAGAGGAGGGCGGAGGGCAUGGCGGGAGGGACGGGCGCCUCGCUGUGAGGGAUAAGGUGCCUUCAGGCUGCAGUGCGCAGGGCUGGGGGAUGAGCCUGGG